AUUGAACGCUGGCGGCAGGCUUAACACAUGCAAGUCGAACGAUGAUUUCCCAGCUUGCUGGGAAUGAUUAGUGGCGGACGGGUGAGUAACAUUUAGGAACCUGCCUAGUAGUGGGGGAUAGCUCGGGGAAACUCGAAUUAAUACCGCAUACGACCUACGGGUGAAAGGGGGCGCAAGCUCUUGCUAUUAGAUGAGCCUAAAUCAGAUUAGCUAGUUGGUGGGGUAAAGGCCCACCAAGGCGACGAUCUGUAACUGGUCUGAGAGGAUGAUCAGUCACACCGGAACUGAGACACGGUCCGGACUCCUACGGGAGGCAGCAGUGGGGAAUAUUGGACAAUGGGGGCAACCCUGAUCCAGCCAUGCCGCGUGUGUGAAGAAGGCCUUUUGGUUGUAAAGCACUUUAAGCAGGGAGGAGAGGCUAAUGGUUAAUACCCAUUAGAUUAGACGUUACCUGCAGAAUAAGCACCGGCUAACUCUGUGCCAGCAGCCGCGGUAAUACAGAGGGUGCGAGCGUUAAUCGGAAUUACUGGGCGUAAAGCGAGUGUAGGUGGCUCAUUAAGUCACAUGUGAAAUCCCCGGGCUUAACCUGGGAACUGCAUGUGAUACUGGUGGUGCUAGAAUAUGUGAGAGGGAAGUAGAAUUCCAGGUGUAGCGGUGAAAUGCGUAGAGAUCUGGAGGAAUACCGAUGGCGAAGGCAGCUUCCUGGCAUAAUAUUGACACUGAGAUUCGAAAGCGUGGGUAGCAAACAGGAUUAGAUACCCUGGUAGUCCACGCCGUAAACGAUGUCUACUAGCCGUUGGGGUCCUUGAGACUUUAGUGGCGCAGUUAACGCGAUAAGUAGACCGCCUGGGGAGUACGGCCGCAAGGUUAAAACUCAAAUGAAUUGACGGGGGCCCGCACAAGCGGUGGAGCAUGUGGUUUAAUUCGAUGCAACGCGAAGAACCUUACCUGGUCUUGACAUAGUGAGAAUCUCUCAGAGAUGAGAGAGUGCCUUCGGGAAUUCACAUACAGGUGCUGCAUGGCUGUCGUCAGCCCGUGUCGUGAGAUGUUGGGUUAAGUCCCGCAACGAGCGCAACCCUUUUCCUUAUUUGCCAGCGGGUUAAGCCGGGAACUUUAAGGAUACUGCCAGUGACAAACUGGAGGAAGGCGGGGACGACGUCAAGUCAUCAUGGCCCUUACGACCAGGGCUACACACGUGCUACAAUGGUAGGUACAGAGGGUUGCUACACAGCGAUGUGAUGCUAAUCUCAAAAAGCCUAUCGUAGUCCGGAUUGGAGUCUGCAACUCGACUCCAUGAAGUCGGAAUCGCUAGUAAUCGCAGAUCAGAAUGCUGCGGUGAAUACGUUCCCGGGCCU
rnacentral:rRNA from 1 species